rnacentral:lncRNA from 1 species
UGUCAUUUGAUACUGCAAGAAGAAAUGAAGGGAGGGUUUUGUUUUACCCACUGCUUGUUAGAGAGGAUUUGAAGCAGCGCUAGCUGCUAGCUGCCUGACUUUGGUUAUGGACACCUACUCCUCUGGCGAAGACUUGGUUCUUAAGGUCACAUUAAGUAGAAACCUUUGAUUACUUUUUUAUUUUCUGUCUCUAUCUUCUUCUUCUUCUUCUUAUUCUUCUUUUAUUUAUUAUUUGUUUGGUGAUAUGAAAUAGCUGAUUAAGGAUUGAAUAUAUGAAUUCUGAAUUUUGCUUGAUGGUAGAC